rnacentral:lncRNA from 1 species
UGAUAAUGCAACACACUUCAUUGACUCAUUUAUUAGAACUUGCAUAGACUGUUUUGUUAUAAAUUAAUGACUUGAUGCAAAGAGACAUUUAUGGUCUUCAAGAUAAAAUACAGAUAGAUCCCAUCUCAACUAAAUGAGUAAAGAACAGAGACUAUUUCAAAAGUGUGGAAUUUGAAGACAAACAGAAUGACAGGAAAUAGUAGAGAAAUUCAGUCUUAUGAACAUAGAGGUUUAACCUUCUUUACAACAUAGAGGUUUUUUCAGGAGUAUUUCUAACUCGGCUCAAGUCAACAGUUCCUGCUUAUAAUGCUCUCUCUUUUCUCCCAACUUCUCCAUGAAGCUCUGUAGUGUAGCUUGGUCCCACAAUUGACUCAAACUUGAAGGCCACCAUUCCCAAAACUCUCUUUCUCUUCCAACAUUUUCAUUGUUGAUACGCUACACAAAUCCAAAAUGAAUAAGUCUAAGCAUUGGUACUUCUCCAAUACUUGAAGAAGGGAUCCCAAUCACAUCUAGUUUCAAAUCCAGAAAGGAGAUUUGCAGAGGGCUUUCUUUAUCAAUCACUCUAGUGGGAGGUGUUUUGAGAAAAACUACAGAUACAUAAGCAUGUUGGGAAUCAAUAUGGGAGAACUUAACUACAAUGGUGAAUUUGGAUAAUGAUAAACAUUGUUUUAAACAAUUGAAAUUCGGUGAAGGAAAAAAGAAUGGAGCUUCAAUCAAAUGAAAUUAACACUUUUGAAUAAGAAAUGGAUUACAAGCAUGAUAAACUCAAAUAGCUAAACUAUACAGCGACAGUCUUCAUUUACAGACAAAACGGUAGGUAUUCCGCUCAAUGCCUGGGCAUACUCAUAAGAACUUAAUGAGAUUAGUAUAAAAUAACGCAGUCAUCAAUCGUGAAAUAGUUAGUUUGAAACAAGAAAUGUAUAGAAAUGAAUUCAAUUCGACAGCAAACAUAACAAUAUUUUCGCAAAAACAAGAUGAAAAAGCAACCUUGAAUUACGUUAAUUAGAUAGCAUUAGGGUUUCACAGCUCCGUCAUGACUUCUUCAAUCGCCGCCGUAGACUGCGGCGGAGGGGAAGCAGCAAAGCGGACUAGGGGUACAUUAGUCCGAAUGACUUCAACACAGUAGUGCUGCACCUGCACAAGUGAAAAGUCCAAAUUACUGAUUCCGUACCGA